UUCUGCCUAUCACAUCCUAUGUUGAACCUGCCAGAUCUACUCUAAUCCUGGAAGUUAAGUAUGGUUGGGCCCAGUUAGUACUUGGAUGGAAUUAUUUUCUGGGAAUACUGGGUACUGCAGGAU
rnacentral:rRNA from 1 species